rnacentral:rRNA from 1 species
GAUGAACGCUGGCGGCGUGCCUAACACAUGCAAGUCGAGCGGCAGCGCGGGGUGCUUGCACCCUGUCGGCGAGCGGCGGACGGCUGAGUAACGCGUGGGAACGUGCCCCAAAGUGAGGAAUAACUGCCCGAAAGGGUAGCUAAUACCGCAUAUUAUCUUCGGAUCAAAGGAUUUAUCCGCUUUGGGAGCGGCUCGCGUCGGAUUAGGUAGUUGGUGAGGUAAUGGCUCACCAAGCCGACGAUCUGUAGCUGGUCUGAGAGGAUGACCAGCCAGACUGGAACUGAGACACGGUCCAGACUCCUACGGGAGGCAGCAGUGAGGAAUCUUCCACAAUGGGCGAAAGCCUGAUGGAGCAACGCCGCGUGCAGGACGAAGGCCUUCGGGUUGUAAACUGCUUUUAUAAGUGAGGAAUAUGACGGUAACUUAUGAAUAAGGAUCGGCUAACUACGUG